CACAUAGUUAGCCGGGGCUUCCUCCUUAGGUACAGUCUUUUAUCUUCCCUAAUGACAAUAGUUUACAAUCCGAAAACCUUCUUCCUAUACGCGGCGUCACUGCGUCAGAGUUUCCUCCAUUGCGCAAUAUUCCCCGACUGCUGCCUCCCGUAGGAGUCUGGGCCGUAUCUCAGUCCCAAUGUGGCCGUUCAACCUCUCAGUCCGGCUACUGAUCGUAGUCUUGGUAGGCCGUUACCCCACCAACUAACUAAUCAGACGCAAGCCCAUCUAUCAGCGGAUUGCUCCUUUCCUCACUGUAUCAUGUGAUACUGUGAGCAUAUGCGGUAUUAGCAAUGUAUUUCUCUACUUGUUACUUCCCCUCUAGUAUAGGCGUAGGUUGUCCUUACGGUUGUUACUCCACCUACGUCCCGCCAACUACCGCCUCUACAAUACUAAAAGAUGAGUUAACGUCCGUUACGACUU
rnacentral:rRNA from 1 species